GUACGCUAUUCAGAGUUUGAUCCUGGCUCAGGAUGAACGCUAGCGGCAGGCUUAACACAUGCAAGUCGAGGGGCAGCAUGAGACGGAGAUUCGUCGAAGUCUUGAUGGCGACCGGCGCAAGGGUGCGUAACGCGUGAGCAACUUGCCCGUUUCAGGGGGAUAACCGGUGGAAACGCCGACUAAUACCCCAUGGCACUGGAUUCAGGCAUCUGAAUUCAAUUAAAGAAUUUCGGAAACGGAUAGGCUCGCGUGACAUUAGCUGGAUGGCGGGGUAACGGCCCACCAUGGCUACGAUGUCUAGGGGUUCUGAGAGGAAGGUCCCCCCACACUGGAACUGAGACACGGUCCAG
rnacentral:rRNA from 1 species